rnacentral:rRNA from 1 species
UUCCAUACUCCUACUUGAGGCAGCAUUUGGGAAUAUUUUGCACUGGGCGCACUCCUUCCCCAGCAACUCCUCGUGAAGGCAUACUUCUUUCGGUUUUUCAACUUCUUUUCCUCUGGAAGAGUCUCCUCCGGUACCUCUUCCCUAAGCCACUUCUCCCUACGUGCCCUCCUCCGCGGUCCUACUUAGGUGGCCCUCUUUGUCCGGAGUUCCUGGGUGUAAAUGUCGUGUAGCCGGGACGGCAAGUCAGAGGGGAAAUCCAAAGGAGCAACCUUGGAAAUGCAUUUGAAAAUGUUGGUCUUGAGUAUCGGAGAGGAAGGCGGAAGUAAGAGUGUAGCGGUGAAAUGCGUAGAGAGGAGGAGGAACAAAAGGGGCGAAGGAGGAAGGCUGGACGACAACUGACGGUGAGGCGCGAAAGCGUGGGGAGAAAACAGGAUUAGAUACCCUUGUA